GCUUACGGCCAUACCACCCUGAGCACACCCGAUCUCAUCUAAUCUUGGAGGCUAAGCAGGGUCGGGCCUGGUUAGUACUUGGAUGGGAAACCGGCUGGGAAUACCAGGUGCUGUAAGCU
ensembl:rRNA 5S_rRNA 5S ribosomal RNA